UGAGGAAUAUUGGUCAAUGGGCGAGAGCCUGAACCAGCCAAGUAGCGUGCAGGAUGACGGCCCUAUGGGUUGUAAACUGCUUUUAUAUGGGAAUAAAGUGAGGGACGUGUCCCUUAUUGCAUGUACCAUACGAAUAAGGACCGGCUAAUUCCGUGCCAGCAGCCGCGGUAAUACGGAAGGUCCAGGCGUUAUCCGGAUUUAUUGGGUUUAAAGGGAGCGUAGGCUGUUUGUUAAGCGUGUUGUGAAAUGUAAGAGCUCAACUUUUAGAUUGCAGCGCGAACUGACAGACUUGAGUGCGCACAACGUAGGCGGAAUUCAUGGUGUAGCGGUGAAAUGCUUAGAUAUCAUGACGAACUCCGAUUGCGCAGGCAGCUUACUGUAGCAUAACUGACGCUGAUGCUCGAAAGUGCGGGUAUCAAACAGG
rnacentral:rRNA from 1 species